rnacentral:rRNA from 1 species
UGGGGGAUAUUGCACAAUGGGCGAAAGCCUGAUGCAGCGACGCCGCGUGGGGGAUGAAGGCUUUCGGGUUGUAAACCUCUUUCGCUAUCGAACAAGGCUUGCUUAGGGUGGGUUGAGGGUAGGUGGAGAAGAAGCGCCGGCUAACUACGUGCCAGCAGCCGCGGUAAUACGUAGGGCGCGAGCGUUGACCGGAAUUAUUGGGCGUAAAGGGCUUGUAGGCGGCUUGUUGCGCCUGCUGUUAAAACGCGGGGCUUAACUUCGCGCGUGCAGUGGGUACGGGCCGGCUUGAGUGUGGUAGGGGUGACUGGAAUUCCAGGUGUAGCGGUGGAAUGCGCAGAUAUCUGGAGGAACACCGAUGACGAAGGCAGGUCACUGGGCCAUUACUGACGCUGAGGAGCGAAAGCAUGGGUAGCGAACAGG